CCUACGGGGGGCUGCAGUGGGGAAUAUUGGACAAUGGGGGCAACCCUGAUCCAGCCAUGCCGCGUGUGUGAAGAAGGCCCUCGGGUUGUAAAGCACUUUCAGUGAGGAAGAACGCCUGGUGGUUAAUACCCAUCAGGAAAGACAUCACUCACAGAAGAAGCACCGGCUAACUCCGUGCCAGCAGCCGCGGUAAUACGGAGGGUGCGAGCGUUAAUCGGAAUUACUGGGCGUAAAGCGCGCGUAGGUGGCUUGAUAAGCCGGUUGUGAAAGCCCCGGGCUCAACCUGGGAACGGCAUCCGGAACUGUCAAGCUAGAGUGCAGGAGAGGAAGGUAGAAUUCCCGGUGUAGCAGUGAAAUGCGUAGAGAUCGGGAGGAAUACCAGUGGCGAAGGCGGCCUUCUGGACUGACACUGACACUGAGGUGCGAAAGCGUGGGUAGCAAACAGGAUUAGAUACCCCUGUAGUC
rnacentral:rRNA from 1 species